GUGGGGAAUUGUUCGCAAUGGGCGCAAGCCUGACGACGCAACGCCGCGUGGAGGAUGAAGACUUUCGGGUCGUAAACUCCUGUCGAAUGGGACGAAAAAAUCGUGGGUUAACAGCCCGCGUUUCUGACGGUACCGUUAAAGGAAGCCCCGGCUAACUCCGUGCCAGCAGCCGCGGUAAUACGGGGGGGGCAAGCGUUGUUCGGAAUUACUGGGCGUAAAGGGCUCGUAGGCGGCCAACUAAGUCAGACGUGAAAUCCCUCAGCUUAACUGAGGAACUGCGUCUGAUACUGGAUGGCUUGGAUUCGGGAGAGGGAUGCGGAAUUCCAGGUGUAGCGGUGAAAUGCGUAGAUAUCUGGAGGAACACCGGUGGCGAAGGCGGCAUCCUGGACCGAUAUUGACGCUGAGGAGCGAAAGCUAGGGGAGCAAACGGGAUUAGAAACCCCGGUAGUCC
rnacentral:rRNA from 1 species